rnacentral:lncRNA from 1 species
GGAUAUACAACCCAACACAGCCCUAACCGGGGUGUUACAAGUCACGAGCAUCUACUAGGGUCUAACUACAGCUGAAAAGUCUGAAAUGUACUGAGUACAGACAUAUGAAAUAAAGAGGGAGAAAAGCACUGCUGCGGACGCCGGCAGCUACCUUGGUAAACUCUGAUGACUCUACCUCUGAUCAACCAAUACCCGCUACCGGGUCAAGAAAUACCUGAAUAUGCACAUAUGGUGCAGGGAGUAAAGUGAGUACUCUGACUUAGUGAGUAAUAAUAAUAAAUAAAGACUGAAGGCAAGAAAUCACGUAAAACAUAUCAAGAUGCUAUAUAUAAGCAGUCCAAAACCAGUAAGAAAGUAGUGAAGCUGAAAAAAAAGCUCUUAAAAUAUCUUAGCUCAAUUUAAACUUCUUUGAAAAUGGCCUUUUCAAUGAUUACGCAACUGAAUGCAAAAUAGUUCGUGCAGAGAAGCAUAGAAAUUCGCCCCUCGGGAACAAAUACCAUAGUUUAUCAGGUAAAAUGACAAGUAAAAAUGAAAGAUAAACAUAUAAAAGUUCGCCCCUCUGGCUCAAUGUCAACAACUUCGCCCCUCGGGCAAUAUCUUAGAACAAUAUCAGUCCCUCGGGCUAUCCCAUAGAACAGUACCAGCCCCUCAGGCAAUCACAUAGAACAAUACCAGCCCCUCGAGCUAUCACACAGUACAAUAUCAGCCCCUCGGGCUAUAUAUCACAUCACAAUGGGUACCUGCGCUCACUGGGGGUGUACAGACUCCGGGAGGAGCCCCUUACUGCCCAAGUGCAACAUCAAGCCAUAUCGUGGCAUAAAUCUAGGCCCUCUGCAUCAUAUCAGUCAAGCCACCUCGUGGCGUAUAUAUGUAUCUCAGGCCCCCGGCCUCAUAAAAAAUAUCAACAAGCCACCUCGUGGUGUACAUAUCUCAGUCCCUCGGCCUCAAUCAGUAUCAGUGUUUCCUCACAACUAGGCCCUCGGCCUUACUCAGUCACAAGCCCCUCGGGCAUUAGUAAAACAGCAUUUCUCAGCCCAAAAUAUCAUUUAAAAUAUCAUUUAAGUCUCAAAAACGGAGUAAAAAUGGUUGAGUAGUAAAACAGUGGAAAAUAACAUAACUGAGUUCAAUUAAUAAGUCAAAGCAGUGAGGAAAUAGUAAUAAAAAUCCCCGAAGAGUUCAAAACAGUUGGCACGAAGCCCAAAUAUGUCAAUCAGCCCAAAUCAUAAUGAUAACAAAUAAGUUUCAGUCAAAUACGCGGUAAAAUCAUCAAUCGGGAUGGACCAAGUCAUAAUCCCCAAUAGUACAUGACCCCACGCCCGUCGUCAAGCAUGUGCCUCACCUUAAUAUAGCACUACGAUGUGCAAUCCGGGGUUUCAAACCCUCAGAACAUCAUUUACAAUCAUUACUCACCUCGAAUCGGCUAAAACUCUAGCUCGCGAUGCCUUUGCCCCUCAAAUUGACCUCCACGUGCGUUGAAUCUAUUUAAAAUCAGAACAAAUACGUCACAAUAUGCUAAGGGAACAAAGCCCAAGCAAAAACAAUCAAAAAACACCAAAAAUCUCGAAAUUAGCAAAGCCUGAGCCCCGGGCCCACUUCUCGAAACUCAGAAAUUUUUACAUCAACGGGUUCCUUAUCUCCCCACGAGUUCAACCAUACCAAUUUUACCAAAAUCCGACAUCAACUCGACCCUCAAAUCUUCAAAUUAAACCAAGAGGGUUUCCAAGAUUUUACCAACUAAAAUCACCAAUUAAAUGUUAAAAAUAACGAUGGAUUCGAGUAAUCUAACCAAAAUUGAGUUAAGAACACUUACCCUGAUGUUUUCCUUGAAAAUCUCUCAAAAAAUCACCUCACCCGAGCUCCCCCAACUCUAUUUUGGUUCCAGUAGCCAAAAUAAAUCGGCCCGCGCUACCCUGGGCGCUCGCGAUGGGAAAUUAUUUUUCCCCGACACGAAAAUGGGCAUAAUUCUCUCAUACGAUGUCCGAAUUGGACGAUUCUUUUUGCUAUGGUUCCAAAAUUGCGAUACGGAUCUAAUUCCUCAAUAAAAACUGAAUUUGGAGCUCAUUUGCAUAAUAUGAUACCACUUAUUCUUGAAGAACGGCAUCAAAACAUCCUUGAAAUGCGGAAGUUAAACUCCAAUAACCAUCCAAACUCCACCCGAGGCCCUCGGGAUCUCAACCAAAUAUAUCAACAAGUCCUAAAAUAUCAUGCGGACUUACUCAGAGUUUCAAAUCGUGCCAAGCAACAUCAAAACUAUAAUUCACACCUCAAUUCGGACUUAUGAGUUUCAAACUUUUCCUUUUACAAAGCGCGUGCCAAAACGUAUAAAAUGAAUCCAGAAUGACUUCAAAUUUUGCACACAAGUCAUUAAUGACAAAAUGGAGCUACUGCAACUUCCAAAAUUUCAUUCCGACCUUUAUAUCAAAAUCUCACCUAUCAACCGGAAAAAGCCGAAAUCUCCAUUUCGCCAAUUCAAGCCCAAACCUUCCACGGACCUCCAAAAUGCAUUCCGAUCACGCUCCUAAGUCCCAAGUCACUUAACGGAGCUAACCAAAUCAUAAAAAUUCUGAUCCGAGAUCAUAUACAAACAAGUCAAAUCUUGAUCAAACCUUUCAAACUUCAAGCUUCAACUGAGAACUAUUUUCUUCCAAAUGCGUUCCGAUUACCCUGAAAACCAAAACCAAUGAUUUACAUAAGUCAUAACACAUCACACGGGGCAACUCAUGCCCGAUAACUAGUGAUCAAAGUGCAAAAGCUCAAAACGACCGGUCGGGUCGUUACAAACACACUUUUUCAAAUGCAAAAUAGAAAGUACAAUAAUAAAAAAAAACUCGGUAUUACUAUACAAAACUAGAAGGUAAAAGAUGACAUGAAAAGAAAAACAGACUCAAAAUAUAAAAAAAAAUCUUCUUAAGCAACUCCUGAAUGAGCGAUCCUGACUGGAUGGUCACGAAGUGUCAGUCAUGCUCAAACUCCGGUAAGUAGACCCACACCUGUAUGAGAAAAUUAAGACCAAAUAAAGUUAAAGACCUAGAACACUAUGUGAGAUAAUAACCCUUCCUGUUGGACACAUGCAAGACAUGAUUGUGACUAUUUUUCUAAAAUUAACCUAUGUGGCUAAAAGUGGCUAAAAAUGCAAGAUUUGGCUAAGACCCCGCGAAACCAUGAACCUAAGACUCACUAGGAAGACCGGAAAUUAUGUGGGUUUCCUACGUAUCACGCCCCAAAAGACGAGAAUCAUGUAUCCGUAGUUCGGGCAAAUUGGAUACGGGCAAGAAUUGAAAAAAUAACUAAUUUAGAAAAAAAAAUAUUUUUUUUCUGAAAAAAUGAUGAAACAUGUAAACUCUUUUUGGAUUUUCUUUUCCUUUUUUUGAUUUUUUUGAUUUUCAGAAAAUGAUGAAAAAGUUCCAAAAAAAAUUGAAUUUUUCAUUUUUUUUUCUUUUCUUAACCAAAAUGUGAAAGAAAAACAUAAUUGGGCCUUACUUGCUUUAUUUUCACACUUCACCAUCUCUUUUUCCUUUUUUUUCAUUUGCCCUCAACUAUCAUUGGUCCACCAAAUGACACUUUUACCCUUGAAGAAAUGCAACAUGUAGCACAUAGGAUGCAUCAAGAUGGUCCGUUAUUUUGGGUACACCUGUCCUAGACGGACCCAACCCCUAUGUUGAGUCCCAUAAGUCAAAUGCACAUGAUGCAAACAAACAUUCCUACUAGGGAUCCGGCAUGAGGCUAUGUUAUUCUAGGUUUAAAAACCUGGAUUUAUUUGUUCUAGGCCUGGCUUACUCGAGCGGACAGCUCGAGACGAGGGGAGGCAGCGUACCGGGAAUACAGAAGCUUCACCGACUUUGCAACUUGUCCAAAGAUCGUGCUAAAAUUGGGAUAUGACUCUAACAGAAGAGAAGUCACACGAAGUGCACAUUUCCCAGUUGAUUUAGAAGACUCAGAGAGAAAAGGGUAUCGUAACAGUUUUUAUAUACAGUUUAAUUAAUAUCAAAGCGGUAAAAAAACGACAUUUAGCAUAUUAGGCCCAAACACGCAAAAAUCAGACAAUCAUGAAAGCCAAGUAUAGCAGUUAUUCUAAGCUCGAAUUCAAACCCUGAACCAGAAGUUCUGGAUUUUUAUCCCCAGCAGAGUCACCGGAGUUGUCACACCUCCUUUUUCACACCCCGGGGAGGGUAUAAGGGAGUUUUUUCCAAUUUAAGUGACAAUCGAAAUGGGAUUAUUUAUUUAAAAUUCAGAGUCGCCACUUGGGAUAAUUUAUGGUGUCCCAAGUCACCGGUUUAAAAUUUUGAAUCGUGAAAAGUUUGACUCUGUUUUACAGUUCGCGAACACAGAAAUCCGGGUAAGGAAUUCUGUUAACCCGGGAAAAGAUGUUAGGCAUUUCCGGGUUCCGUGGUUUUAGCACGGUCGCUCAACUAUUAUUAUUGGCCUAAUUAUCUGAUUUUUUACACGUUUUAAACCUAUUGUGCAUUUUUAACUUUUUAGUCACUUUUAAUAUUUCGAAAAAAUUCAAGGUUAUUUAAAAUACGUCGUAAGUCACGCUAUAUAAAAUGCACUCGUGGUUCACGACACGUUCUAUUUAACCUUUUUGGAAAUUAGAAUCGGGUCACAUAAAAUGCACACCCGGAUUUACCAUGUUUAUUUUAUUACUAUUCCAAGUUGUGGUCAGGUCAUAUGAAAUGCACACCCGGAUGAGAUUUACGUAUCGUGACCAUGUCACGGGAACCGUACCCAUAGCCACGAUAAUUUAUUAAUCUCACAUUAAUAAUCAUAAAGUAGACAAUGACUAAUUUUAUUAAUUGUCUACAACAAUUCAGUACUAUACUCAUGAUUCCUCAUUUCUGGCAUAAGAGACAAAAGGUAAUCUUUUUAAUUCCCUAAUUCUAUAUAUUAGUUAGAUCUUGGUUGAAAUUUAGCAUUAACAAUGAACAAGAGAUUCCUACGGCAAGCAAAAACAUUGACGCGAAGAGUAUACAAAGCAUUCUCCAAUAUACACAACUGGUUCAAUAUUGCAAGAAGAAAACACUUUAGCAAUGAAAUCAACGAAUUUGCAAAGGAAUACAUUUGAGACUGAUCAAUGCUGUAGCAGAUAUCAUAAAAUCAUGAAACACAAGCUCAUCCUAAAAUACUAGUGUAGCAGUUACAACCACUUAAAAUCAAAUCAAACUGUUAAUUAAAGUGUGAAAAAAAAUAAAUAGAUCAAUGAACACAGAAAUUCUUACGAGCACGCAUAUGCCGAAACAGAUCCGGAACACUGGAAUAGAACUCCUCGCCGGACAAAUAGGAACUUCGACGGAAAACCAACUGGAUUCUAUCGGAAUUUGAAUGAGACAAUAAUGAAACGAACCAUGUGACUAGAACCUCGGUCGAACCUAACUCGCAGAUAUUGUCCCUUUCUCGUUUCUAUGCGUGUGCGUGUAUGGCUGCUGGUUCGUUUUCCGGCGAGCUCGCCAGGCAUCGUCGAGGUGGUCGCUGGUUAAGAGUGUGGUGGUGACGGAAUUUCUAGGGUUUAGCUCCUAGGUUCAGUGGGUGGUCGUUGAAGAAGGGAUGAAGAAAGAGUCGAUGGGGGUCAUAGAAAGUCAGUGAUGGCUUUGAGACGAGAUAAAGAAACAAGCCGCUGGAAAUAUAUUUGGUCUCUUUGUUCGCUCCUUAGGUCCUUUUGAUGAAGAAGAUGACUGAAACCAUUUUUGUCUUCUCUCAAGUCAAAAAACGGCAGAUUGUAUCCCUAUAGGUCUAGGUCUUAG